UACCGUGUAAACCAGCAGUGAAAUCUUGAAUGUGAGGAAGCGGGUAUCGAUCUGGAACAGUAGCUGCAUUUAAAGCUCGAUAGUCGCCGCAAAGUCUCCAUGAGUUCGGUCCGUUUUUAGGAACCAUGUGAAGUGGAGCUGCCCAGGUGCUGCUUGACGGUCUACAAAUUCCUUGUUCCACCAUAAAAUUAAAUUCGUCUCUUGCAAAUUUUAAUUUUUCCGGUGACAACCUGCGAGGAGUUGAAGCAAUUGGUGGUCCUUUCGUAAUAAUAUGAUGCUCAAUUUGAUGAAUCUUGUCUGUUGAUAUAGGAGCAAAAUGAGUUAAUUCAGGAAAUUCAGCAAGGAUCUUAUGGAAAGGUGAGUCAGGAAAUGUAGUGCAAAUUGACAAGUGAUUAACUUUAGAUAGUUUUCCUUUAAAUGAAAGACCGGUAACACUAUCUAGAAGUUUUUUGUUUUUAAUGUCAACUAAAAUUCCAUAAUGACUCAAAAAAUCUGCGCCCAAUAUAGGUCUCUGAAUAUCCGCAAUGCAAAAUUUCCAUUUAAAAAUUCUUCGUAAUCCAAGAUUUACAGUUAACAUUUUUAUACCGUAAGUAUUAAUCUUGGUUCCAUUAGCUGCAUAAAGCUUGAAAGAAGCAACUUGAGCUUUUGAAACAAAUCUUUUUGGAAUCAAAGAAAUAUCAGCUCCUGUAUCAACAAGAAAAUUAAGUCCUGAAGUUUUAUCAGAAAUAAUGAGGCGAUUGUUAGGUGAACCGUUGUCAGCCGCCUCACAACUCAACGGUGAAGCUAGUUUUCCUGCCUUUCGACCAAAGAUUUAGACAUAUCACAAGAUCUGCUGCGUACACGUCUAACUUCCAGAGCUGCGAUUCUUCGCUCGAGAUCAACAAAAUUCGAAGUGUCUUUUCCUGCCGAGGAAGCUAUUGUUGCUACAUGUAGGAGGAUUUUCAAUCAAAUCAGCAAUAGCCAACAAAGCUUGCUCAUCAAGAUGCCGUAUAACCGAGCUAUACUUAACAUCAUCUGAGCGGAUCCGAAAAACCAAGAAUUCGCUUUCUAAUUGAGCAAACCACAAUUUAGGCUGCUUAUGCCAAAAAUUCGGCAAUUUAACAAGGCGAAAUUCGUUAGAAUGGAUCUCGUUUGGCUGACCUUGUUGAUGAGGCUCAUUACUGGCAAGAGUUUGUGUCGGAUUCGUCAAACGUUGAUGAUGUUCUCCAGCCGAUGGAACUGAUGCUGACGCUGUAGGAUUCGAAGUCGAAGAUUCGUCCAAAGGCAUCGUCAAACUCUGUCAAUACUCUGCGUUGUGAAUUUCAGAAGUCUAGUAGAUCGCUGUCCUUGGAAAUUCGAUGACUCGAAAAUCUCGUCAACUCGAAGAACACAAGCCACAAAUCACACAAGAAUCACAGCGGAACUCGAAACUCGAUGGCUCACUAAAUUCGCGGAUCACUGAUUCAAAUUCGCCACGCUUGAACGUGAAUUCUCAAAAGCCCGUGAUCACGUCGGGGUCACCAGUUGUGGUAGCGUUAUAGUUAAAUCACUAGACUUUCCUUUUUACUAAUAAAAUAUUUAAUUCACGAGUAAGAUGUGUACAGAUUGAUGGUCAAUGAACGAACGAAUGAAUGUUACAUAAUUUGUCGUAUGUUUAAUAUGUUGUUAUGUAAAGUGUUAAAUCAAUAAAUGAAAUGUGUGAAAAUGGUUACAAA